rnacentral:lncRNA from 1 species
UCAGAUGUGUCCCUAGAGCUGGCUGCAGCCACACCAACCUGAGAGGCAUUGCCUCUUCUCUUUUUCUAUGUUAUUCUGUCUUAUCUCUUUGUUUCUCUUGAGUUUCCUAACUGUUAAAUGUCUGAGUGGUGCAGGGAACUUCAACGUGGCAAGAUAUAUAGAAGGUGAAACAAGCGGUGCAUACAGAUUAGAGAACUUGCUUAGCAUCUUUGCUUUCACUUGGAUCAUUGUGUUAGUUCAUUUGGCCUUGUAGCUUCUCCAGUCGCUGCAAAUCUUCCAAGAUUGUGAAUUUUCCAUCUUCCACAGCAUCUCUCUCUCCAUGUUCUCUUCCUUAUUUAACAGACGCACACAAACACAAAAUGCAAUAAAGUUAAGACAGAUUAUGUGGUGCCAGAACUCUUGUUGGUUUAUACUAGCAAGUAAUAGUAUUUUAGUUUGUCGUUCAACACUAGUUUUUCAAGAACCCCAAGAGUCGAUUAUGAGCUAUACAUGGACUCUUAGCAUGUAAUAAAGUUAUACAAAGAUCAAGAGUUCCGGGUUCGAACAUGAUCUUAUUAGUAUUUCAAUAUCUUUAAGCAACGGGUUACUUGUAGAAAACUGAUCAGUUGAAGAUGGACAGGAAGAGCAGCUGCUGUAGAAGGAGCUGUGGAGGGUGAAGCCUGGGAUUGAUACCAUAAACGAAGAAGCAGCAGCAACAACUGGACAAGUGAUCAGUGAGAGUCCUGCAGCUACUCCUCAGGUGAAGCCAGAGGAUGUGAAGAAGGAAGAGGUGCCUGAGAAGGUUAGGGUCAGCGGCGGCGGUGAUUAUGACUGAACAUGGGAUUGGAAGUUUGUGAUAAUGGGGAGAGGGAAUAACAAAGUUGUCCGAGUAUUAUGGUUCAAUAUGGAUUAUGGGUAUGG